rnacentral:rRNA from 1 species
GAUGAACGCUGACAGAAUGCUUAACACAUGCAAGUCAACUUGAAUUUGGGUUUUUAACUUAGGUUUGGGUGGCGGACGGGUGAGUAACGCGUAAAGAACUUGCCUCACAGCUAGGGACAACAUUUGGAAACGAAUGCUAAUACCUAAUAUUAUGAUAAUAGGGCAUCCUAUAAUUAUGAAAGCUAUAAGCGCUGUGAGAGAGCUUUGCGUCCCAUUAGCUAGUUGGAGAGGUAACGGCUCACCAAGGCGAUGAUGGGUAGCCGGUCUGAGAGGGUGAUCGGCCACAAGGGGACUGAGACACGGCCCUUACUCCUACGGGAGGCAGCAGUGGGGAAUAUUGGACAAUGGACCGAGAGUCUGAUCCAGCAAUUCUGUGUGCACGAUGAAGUUUUUCGGAAUGUAAAGUGCUUUCAGUUGGGAAGAAACAAAUGACGGCACCAACAGAAGAAGUGACGGCUAAAUACGUG